rfam:Butyrivibrio proteoclasticus B316 chromosome 1, complete sequence.
UGACUAUGAAGUGUAAAUCCCUACUGGCAGGGGGAUACAUGGAGUCUAUGGGCGGGUUUAGUGUGACAACCGCGAGCCAGUUAGGCGUAAGCUGAAAAGAAAACACUUAUA